rnacentral:lncRNA from 1 species
GUUAAAAAGUUAAAGACAUGUAGUCCUGAACUUAGAGCUACAAGUUAAAAAGUUAAGGACAGGUAGUCCUGAACUUAGAGUUACAAGUUAAAAAGUUAAGGACAUGUAGUCCUGAACUUAGAGCUACAAGUUUAAAAGUAAAGGACAGGUAGUCCUGAACUUAGAGUUACAAGUUAAAAAGUUAAGGACAUGUUGUCCUUAACUUGGAUGGGUGCAAUGAAAAAGUUAAGGAUAUGGUGUCCUUAACUUUGAUGUGUGCAGUAAAAAUGUUAAGGAC